rnacentral:rRNA from 1 species
AGUGAACGCUGGCGGUAGGCCUAACACAUGCCAGUCGAACGGCAGCACAGUAAGAGCUUGCUCUUACGGGUGGCGAGUGGCGGACGGGUGAGGAAUACAUCGGAAUCUACUUUUUCGGGGGGGAUAACGUAGGGAAACUUACGCUAAUACCGCAUACGACCUACGGGUGAAAGCAGGGGAUCUUCGGACCUUGCGCGAUUGAAUGAGCCGAUGUCGGAUUAGCUAGUUGGCGGGGUAAAGGCCCACCAAGGCGACGAUCCGUAGCUGGUCUGAGAGGAUGAUCAGCCACACUGGAACUGAGACACGGUCCAGACUCCUACGGGAGGCAGCAGUGGGGAAUAUUGGACAAUGGGCGCAAGCCUGAUCCAGCCAUACCGCGUGGGUGAAGAAGGCCUUCGGGUUGUAAAGCCCUUUUGUUGGGAAAGAAAAGCAGCAGGUUAAUCCCCCGCUGUUCUGACGGUACCCAAAGAAUAAGCACCGGCUAACUUCGUG